rnacentral:rRNA from 1 species
UUUUAGGUUGAUCCUGCCGGACCUGACUGCUAUCUGAUUGGUACUAAGCCAUGUGAGUCGUUGUAGCAAUACAAGGCGGACUGCUCAGUAACACGUAGUUAACUUAACCUAUGGAUGGGAAUAACCUCGGGAAACUGAGAAUAAUACCCAAUAGACCACAGUGCCUGGAAUGGCCUGUGGUUGAAAUGAUUUAUCGCCGUAGGAUAGGACUGCGGCCUAUCAGCUUGUUGGUGAGGUAAUGGCCCACCAAGGCUAUAACAGGUACGGGCUCUGAGAGGAGGGGCCCGGAGAUGGGUACUGAGACACGGACCCAGGCCCUAUGGGGCGCAGCAGGCGAGAAACCUUUGCAAUGUGCGAAAGCACGGCAAGGUUAAUCCGAGUGUCUCCUGCUAAAGGAGUCUUUUGUCAGUUGUAGAAUCACUGGUGAAUAAGGGGUGGGCAAGUUCUGGUGUCAGCCGCCGCGGUAAAACCAGCACCUCGAGUGGUCAGGAGGUUUAUUGGGCCUAAAGCAUCCGUAGCCGGUUGCAUAAGUUUUCGGUUAAAUCUAUGCGCUUACCGUAUCGGCCGGCGAACAUUCUGUGCAGCUAGGGAGUGGGAGCGGUACACGGUACUCGAUAGGACGGGGGUAAAUCCUUUGAUCUAUUGAAGACCCCCUGUGGCG